rnacentral:rRNA from 1 species
GAGUAACACGUGACUAACCUACCUUCGAGUGGGGAAUAACCUCGGGAAACCGGGGCUAAUACCGCAUAACAUCAUCGGGUGAAAUUCCUGCUGAUCAAAAGCUUUUUGCUUGAAGAGGGGGUCGCGGCUGAUUAGCUAGUUGGUGAGGUAACGGCUCACCAAGGCGGUGAUCAGUAGCCGGCCUGAGAGGGCGCACGGCCACACUGGAACUGAAACACGGUCCAGACUCCUACGGGAGGCAGCAGUGGGGAAUUUUGCGCAAUGGGGGAAACCCUGACGCAGCAACGCCGCGUGGAGGAUGAAGUCCCUUGGGACGUAAACUCCUUUCGAUCGGGACGAAUAAUGACGGUACCGGAAGAAGAAGCCCCGGCUAACUUCGUGCCAGCAGCCGCGGUAAUACGAGGGGGGCAAGCGUUGUUCGGAAUUAUUGGGCGUAAAGGGCGCGUAGGCGGUGCGGAAAGUCUUCAGUGAAAUCUCUGGGCUCAACUCAGAGUUGGCUGGGGAAACUCCCGUGCUUGAGUGUGGGAGAGGUGAGUGGAAUUCCCGGUGUAGCGGUGAAAUGC